GACGGGAAAUCUGAAAAAAUUUUGCAAAAUUUUCUGGGAACUAAACAAGGCCACAGGAGGUGGGGGCACUCAGAAGGCGUCGCUAGAGCCCAGUUGAAGGGGAGUGGCGUCACGGAGCUGGAGGUGGCCGGGUACGGGAGGAAGAAGAUGAGGGAAGAUGGAACCGUGCGCGCGAGGCGAGGAAGAAGAUAAAAGGGAAACGAAAACCUAUCCUUCUUUGAUCUAUUUUAUGCAGGAAAACAAAAGGGCUGCCCUUAUAUAGUUAUAUAUCUAUGUACUAGUAACAAACAAAGGGCAGUUAAUACACGCACAAAAUAGACCAAACGUGCUAAAUCGACUACUAGAACUCUAGAAGAAUAACGAGGGCAUGAUCAAAUAUUGCGUCUUAUACACAGCGGAAGAAUUUCGUGCCGGUCCAAAACAGAGGACUCGUGCCGCAGAGUUCGCACUGUGACACUUCCUCUUUUUCCAACGUUUGCUGAACUGAGAAGGGCA